rnacentral:rRNA from 1 species
GACGAACGCUGGCGGCGUGCUUAACACAUGCAAGUCGAACGAAGAGCGACGGAAGCUUGCUUCUAUCAAUCUUAGUGGCGAACGGGUGAGUAACGCGUAAUCAACCUGCCCUUCAGAGGGGGACAACAGUUGGAAACGACUGCUAAUACCGCAUACGAUCUAAUCUCGGCAUCGAGGAUGGAUGAAAGGUGGCCUCUACAUGUAAGCUAUCACUGAAGGAGGGGAUUGCGUCUGAUUAGCUAGUUGGAGGGGUAACGGCCCACCAAGGCGAUGAUCAGUAGCCGGUCUGAAAGGAUGAACGGCCACAUUGGGACUGAGACACGGCCCAGACUCCUACGGGAGGCAGCAGUGGGGAAUCUUCCGCAAUGGACGAAAGUCUGACGGAGCAACGCCGCGUGAGUGAUGACGGCCUUCGGGUUGUAAAGCUCUGUUAAUCGGGACGAAAGGCCUUCUUGCGAAUAGGGAGAAGGAUUGACGGUACCGGAAUAGAAAGCCACGGCUAACUACGUG